GCUUCUUCCCCCCUAAUGAAUGAAGGAUCAUUUUCUCAUGUUCUAUUCUGUUAUUAUUGCAUUAUUACAUUUUUAUGUCAUGAUUGCUGGAGGUAAAUAGUGGGAAAACUACCAAAGUUAUUCACCCUCUGGCGAACAUGAAUGUCCGUACAAUUUUUUUUUAUCCAUCCACUAGAGCUAGUUGAGAUAUUUCUCCCUGAAACUAAAAAAAAAAAAAGCCAAUCUCAUGGUGCCACUGAAGGGAAAGUGGAGGAUCACCAAACUCAUAUACAGUAACUCACAAAAGUGAGUACAGCCCUCACCUUCCUGCAUAUAUUUUAUUAUAUCUUAGUGUUACAAGGUCUCAGGUGUGAAUGGGGAGCAGCUGUGUUCAAUUUGGUGUUAUUGCUCUCACACUCUCUCAUAAUGGUCACUGGAAGUUCAACAUGGCACCUCAUGGCAAAGAACCCUCUGAGGACCUGAAAAAAAGAUUUGUUGCUCUACAUAAAGAUAAUCUGGGCUAUAAGAAGAUCACCAACAUCCUGAAACUGAGCUGCAGCAUGGUGGCUAAGACCACACAGCAGUUUAACAGGACAGAUUCCACUUAGAACAGGCCUCGCCAUGGUCGACCAAGUAUUUGCUCAGCGUCAUAUCCAGAGGUCGUCUUUGGAAAAUAGGCGUAUGAGUGCUGCCAGCAUUGUUGCAGAGGUAGAAGAGGUGGGGGGUCAGCCUGUGAGUGCUCAGACCAUACACCCCACACUAUCAAAUUGGUCUGCAUGGCUGUUGUCUCAGAAGGAAGCCUCUUCUAAAGAUGAUGCACUAGAAAGCCCACAAACAGUCUGCUGAAGUCAAGCAGACUAAGGACAUGGAUUACUGGAACCAUGUACUGUGGUCUGAUGAGACCAAGAUGCACUUAUUUCAAUCAAUCACUACAUGAACCAGGGUGGGGCCGUGCGCGGGACCUCGAUGGACGGGCGGGACGGGCUGCUGCUGAGCCAGUAGUAACGUUAGUGAGUAGUAGUAGUGAGCGUCUUUGGAACUGUUGUGUCCGCAACUUGAAAAUGGUUAAGAGGAAGAAACGCCAGGGUGGUGCUGAGAAACAGCGAUUUAAAAAGUUGAAGUUUCUGGAGGUGGAGGCUUCUAAAUGUGCAAAGUUGACAGACCAUUUUGGUGCCGGGACCACCAACCUGCCAGCAGGCAGACGUGGUGCCUAAUGACCAUUGAUCCACUGCAAACUCAACAUGCUCAGCUUGAAAAGUACAACACACCUCUAUAGCGAUGUGGACCUGCUCGCAUGCUGGAGGUUUAGAAGUGCUGGUCUUAUCUGGUAGCAGUGGAGGAAACUGGGUGUUAUUCUGGGGAUAGUAGGAGUAAGCCCAGGUGGAGUUACCCAGCAUCAUCUCCUCUUGGUAGGAAGAUUCAUCCAUCCCUGCUGUGGCUCUGGUCCAGAUCACUGCUUAUCUACUGUGGAUGCCAUUUUGCAAAGAAAGCCAGUGCAAGAACACAAAUAUUGGAGGUGCAGUAGCGUAUAUUCACAAGAUCAUAAACCAUUGGCAAAGGUCUUCACAAUACACAAAUAAGUCACACUGUUCCAGUGGUUGGGUGAGGUUCGAUAAGCUUUUCUUUCCAGUGGUUGAUAAAAUUAGGAAAUUCAGGAAAAAUGACGUGAAAGAGUCACAAUACUCAAAAUCUGGCAAACAAACUAUGUUUCCUAUAAGGUCAGUGAGAUUAAAUCACUUUCAGCUGACCAAAUAAAAUGGCAUGAAGUUUGUUGUGAACAUAACCCUUUGGUUAUGAAAGAGAAGAGUGGGACGGUCAGACAUGACAAAUCUAACGAAAGCGAAUGGGACACAAACACCUCAGUGUUGAGAUCAUGGCACAGCUAAUGUGGCUGAUCACAUAGCCUUAACUUUUACCCUGCAAACAAGUGUUUCCCCUGUUUUUCAACUUCACUCGUGAGUUGGAUUCAUUUGAUUCAUGACGUGUUUCCAAGAAAGAAGCUGCUGCCAAAAGCUGAUGAAGACGUCUGGACAGUGAAUGUGAAAAAAGAGGGAAGCAAAUACAUGAAUGACGAAAUAAAACCAUUCAAGAAAAGUUAAACCAUACAUUUAAUUUCCAUUGUGCCCACCAUAACCACUGCUCUGAUUUAAAUGUGCCUAAUCUCAGAAUGACAUUAUCCAAAUCCCUUCCUAAAACGACAUAACAUGGUUAAUGGCCAUUAUAAUUAGCCUUUG